UUGAAGAGUCGCAAGAACUUUAUUAUAUUGCUCAAGAUCAAAUCAUAAGCCAUUUUCUGUCAUUAUUUUUCUAUUUGCAAGUCUUUGACUAUGAGGCACAUGUAUCUGAAUCUGGUUCUUCUGUUAGCACUGACAGAGAACAUCCUGAUGAGAACAGUCUGCAGACCUGGAGAGAUAAGAAGCAGAGGAACGUGUGUAGAUGAGAAUGAGUGUGAGACUGAUCCAUCCAUUUGUGGAGAAAAUGCAGCAUGCUUCAACACUGUUGGCAGCUACUUCUGUCAAUGUCAUGAAGGAUUCACAACUCAUUCAGAUCAUAAUUUCACACAAUCAGAUUGGAUU